CCUUUGAUCCCCUUUUAACAGCUAUGGACUCCAACCCAGAUCGCCCGUGCGAGUACAUAUCUUUCCGUUUCCUUCCCGUCUCUGCGUCGUGUGAGCAUGAUCUUUUGAUUGUCCCUGCGUGUGUGCUCGCUAGAUUUGUGGUUAAUAAAGCGUGGAUCCGGUUGUUUCGAAGGGGGGGGGGGGGGGGAUUCGCGUGUCGUGACCAUUGCGAGCCCUAGAUUCAGGGCAAAUUUUGGGUGCGAUACAGCAGGGUCAGAUUCCUCUGUUCAGCUUAGGGCCAUCGAGUCCUGCUUUGAGUCAGAUGCUAAGUAAUUUUGGGUUGCGAUGUGGGUCAGGUCAAAUUGUUCUGGAUUUCCGGGCCAUGCUUUGUUACAUGUUUGCCUGUUUUUUUUUUCUUUUCGCUAAAGUUGUGCUCUAUGUUAAUCUCAAAGCCCUUGCUCUGUGCUGAGCUUUAUCUUACUGGGUUGUGCUCUAUUCUUGUGUGGCUUGUACAGCUAAUUAUUGUUGUGUACUCUGACGUUGCUCAAUGAUUCCUUGGACCAUGGGAGACUGGACAGUGCUCUACAUGCACGAGUCUUCACAAAUUGAGUGCCGACAAUGAAUAGAUAUCUUAAUGCAUUGAAGUUCGCGUACGUUGGUCAGUUCAUAUGCUAUAUGCUGAGAUGAUGUUCUUUCAUUGUAUCUUUGUACUUGUUGGAUGAGUUAGUGGGUGUAUUACACAUGCAGAUUCAUUUUCUGGGACUAUGGCUGUAUAGCCAGAAACAACCCUUGCAUAUGUGUCGUUUUUUAAUAGUAGGUGCUCACCACAUAGUCCUUUUUAGGCUUACAAGUUUCCCUAGUCAUUUCAUUUCCAGCAGAAAAGGCUCAGUUUUCCUAGAAAUCACAAUGAGAUGACUGGUCGAUAUGUUCUUGAAUGGAGUAGCCGCAGGUUUGAGUAGGAUUAUGGAUGCAUUUUCAAAUCAUGGACUAUGUCAUGUGUAGGAAAUUGGUGGCAUUCUUAUUUAUUGUAUAAGUUUGCCAGGUGUGAAAUAUGAUUGUGGAUGUAAGAUUGCCAUAUUGACUGAGAUACUGAUUUUUUUUCUUGAGUUUUGAUGCUGGGGGUUUUGUAGAUGUAAGGAUUCAGUUGAUAGUUGGCCAUAGAACUGUGUUAUAUACCAAGUGUUAGGUCCGUUGAUGCGUCAUGCAUGAGAUCAUAGCCUUGGGUAGCAACAGUGUUACCCUAAACGUUUAAAUGGACUAAACGGUCACCUACUGUUUAGCUAUUUAUUCGGGCUAAAUGGCCAUUUAAACGGACUAAACGAUGAUUAAACAGGAUAAAUGGCUGAUUAAACGGACACGGUAAGCCACUGUGUAGUGUGUACAUGGGCUAAACGGACGUGUGCGCAAACAGUGGGUAGCAAGUAGUUUAGUAAAUAGUCAGUCCACUUCUUCAUUACUUUAAAAAUAAAUUAGUCUUGUUUGUAUUGUAAGAUUUUCGACAUAGUAAUUUGGUCGCUUUCCUAUAGCUACCAACUUGUUCAAGCUGAUGCAGUCGGCUAUCCUUUGGAUGUCAUCUUCUUAUUUCUCGAUAUUCCUUUUUAUUUCUCAUCAAACGAAUGGCAUCUUCUUCUGGAAAUCCUAGCUAUUCUUAGCAUGAUAUUGGGGAAUCUCCUUGCUAUUACUCAAACAAGCAUGAAACGUAUGCUUGCAUAUUCGUCCAUAGGGCAAAUUGGAUAU